AGAAGGGACAAUGCUUCUUUUAGCUCCGUUCAUGUAAAGAAGCGAUUGUACCUAGUUAGUAAGCCAACAGAAGCUGUGUUUCUACUAGAUUCAUUGUACAGUGAUUUCAUUCAUGUAUUUUCUAGCAUAAAAGCUUAUUGCUGACCUAAAUAUCACAAUAUCCCCUACUUUACAGAGGUUUAUGGGAUAUUGUAAUAAGCAC